rnacentral:lncRNA from 1 species
CCUAUUUUUCUUCAUCUUCUUCUCUCUCAUCUCACCUGUCCUAAUAUCUAUACAUCCCCAUCUCCUCUUUUCCAUCCAUAGCCUAACCCUUCCUCAUGCUCUCUCCUUCUUCCUCUCAAGCCUAGUAAGUCUACUUUACCCUCUUAUCAAUUUUAUUUCUUUGUAGUACUUAGGAAAAGGAACUAUGGCUUGGAUUCUUUGUUUCAUUAUUUUUCACCUGAUAAGUGGCAUAUUUUUGCAUUUAUUGAAGAUAUUUUUGAUAAU